rnacentral:rRNA from 1 species
AAUGAACGCUGGCGGCGCGCCUAAUACAUGCAAGUCGAGCGAGAAGACGUAGCAAUACGUUUGUAAAGCGGCGAACGGGUGAGGAAUACAUGGGUAACCUACCCUCGAGUGGGGAAUAACUAGCCGAAAGGUUAGCUAAUACCGCGUACGCUUCUUGGACUUCGGUUCAGGGAGGAAAGCGAUACCGUGGGUAUCGCGCUCUUGGAUGGGCUCAUGUCCUAUCAGCUUGUUGGUGAGGUAACGGCUCACCAAGGCUUCGACGGGUAGCUGGUCUGAGAGGACGAUCAGCCACACUGGCACUGCGACACGGGCCAGACUCCUACGGGAGGCAGCAGUAAGGAAUAUUGCGCAAUGGGCGAAAGCCUGACGCAGCGACGCCGCGUGGGGGAUGAAGGUCUUCGGAUUGUAAACCCCUUUCGGGA